GUCUAUUACUACUAACCUUUAGGCACAAAGAAUGUCUUUCGAUGUGAGUGAUAAAUAGAGAAGACUACAACCGUAGUCUCCUUCUAACCUUGGUAAGGAUGAUCUACUGUUCUAAUGGGGAGGCUAACGGAAUCUAGAACAACAAAGGAUGUUCAACCCGCACCUAUAAACCCUAUCCUUCCUGCUAACGAGAUGUGAUCUACAAAGGUAGCUCGGAAAUGUCACGUUCCUCACUACUACCACGGUCCAGCUAGUCAGGGAAUAUCUAUGAGUACCCCAGCCUAAACACCACGUUUACGCCAGCAAUGAUUACUCUAAACUCUACGCGAAGAGAUUAAAGUAAACUCAUAAACCAUAAGAACAAUAAAACAAGAACUUACUAGAAUUUAGAAGUCGAAUUACUGAAGAAUCAUAGGAGCAAGCUUCGGGUUAGGAGAACUUGAUCCCGCAGGUACAAGCUUGGAGUAGACACCGACACGCCGGGCUUCCUCCACUCUACACCUCCACUCUAUCUCUCUCAAUCUAGUAGAAACUAGAAGAUCUAUUUCUACCUUACAUUGAUUGCUAAGCCUAAAAAGAAAUAUUAAUUAGAGAAGAGGUUUUCCUUCGAGGACACCCCUCAGUCUCUAUGAUAAUUUCUUCAUGUCCUCUCCAGGGGCCAGGGGGGCCUUGCUUAUAUAGUCCUCCCCUUCUAUGCGUUUUUGGGUCGAUAGGCGAGGUGGUACUAUGUUUUUCUUGAUCCAAUAGGUCGGUGGAAUAUCCCGAGCGAAAGAGUCCUGAUUUGGCUCCAACAGGGGGGCGGGCGCCCAGGCUACCAGGGCGGGCGCCCUGGGCCUGGCCCAGUUUUGCCUCCGCUUCGGUCUCGUGGCUUCUGGAGUCUUCUAGAUGAUGUAAAAUUGUGCGGUGCAUUGAUAUCUCUAUGUAAUCCCGACAUGUGGGCCUUUCUUCCUUAUUUCCUGAUAACCCCCUGCAGAAAUAGAUAAACAACAAAACUCGUGGAAUUCUGUCAGAUCAAACCCUAUUUCUAGGUGUUGGUUGCAUAUUGGUCCUUUCUCAUGUUUAUUUGAUAAUUAAAAUUGAUACUUAAGAACCAUCAACAAAUACCCCCAUACUUAGGCUUUUACUCGUCCUCGAGAAAAGGAUGGUUAAGAACAAUAUCUGGGGUAAACAUUUAAAACAUUCUCUUUAUAAUUUGCAGGGUGUUAAAAAUUCCACUGUGUACCAUAGUCAGGGAAGUUUAUGAUCAAGAGUAAAGAUUCUUUCUUUUCAAUCCUGUCACUUGGAGUUUUUGUAUAUUUUUGAAAGAAAGUUAGCAUACCUUUUGAUCCUCAUAGCUUCUCUCAAAUCACUCAUUAUCUUUUAUAUAUAUCUCACUGAGGUUGUUUUAUUUUUUAUUUUAUUUUUUUUCGCAAAAAUUCUCAAGCAUUCUAACUUUGCAUUUAUUGCCUGAUCAAAAUGGGAUCCGAGGAGGGGAAUGUCAUACUCUUAGAUCAACGACUUUGGAAAUUAAAAAUCUUUGUCAACUCUUACUGGCAUAUUGCUUAUUAGAGGGACCAUGGGCUAUCAUUUUUUUCUCCUCUCUUUUUUUUAAGUGGAUACCGAGGUACCCCUAAUUCUAGUGCUGGACACUUGUCCAUUUUUUCUGCGAGGUUGUCGAGCACUUGCUCCUUUUUAUUUCCUCGAAAUAUCUCUAUUUUUGCAUAGCCCAUGCCUCUAAUGCAAUAAUACUUCGGAAGAGUGAAUCUUACUGAAUUAAUGUCUUGAUCUUAGGAGCAAGAUAAAUCUCUCAACAAGGGUCUAACUCAUUUUGAACAAACUCAAUACAGAGCAGAAAGCUUUUAUAGUUAUAAUUAAUAUUUUCAGUUUUAUCAGGCAUAUAAAACACUGAGGAUGGUAGCUAGAAAUUUGAAUAUUUUGAAAUAAAUUCUCCAAGUAACAAUGAUAUCAAGAAUAAGAAACUCAUACUCUACCAUCACAUAUUCCAUAUUGACUUAAGUAACACAGGGUUUUAAAAUGAUUUUAUAAUAAUUGCAAGUUUUCAGGAAAUAUCAUAGAUUGAGAUUAAUCAUGAUUAGAAAUAUUUUAAUCCUUUUAUGUCGGAAACAGUAUUCUGCAUAAUCCAAAAUGUGUAAAGUAAAGUGUGCAGAGUGUGUACCUGAAUCGUGGAGUGGUGUAGUCGGAGUGUGUUUGGCAUGUUGAGGGAUCUCCCCCAUACUUGUUUUUUGCUUUCUUGCACAAAAAAUAAAGUAGAGACACACAAGACAUAAUAAUACUAAUAAUAUUCUUUAUUGAUCUUGAGGCAUUUAUUACAAAAGACUGAUAGCAAACUAAUAAUAGCAAACUGAUAAUAGCAAACUUAAACCGAAUUUAAAGAUAGAUAACUAAGAUGCAUUGCCUCAAGGUCUAAUCUAGAUAACUUAGCAGCGCUCUAAUUCCUUGAUCUUCUUGUUGGCACUGGCAAGAUCCUGCCUAAGGCCUAGUAUAAUGGUGUUGUGGUUAGAGAGCUGCCUAGUGAGGGAGUUAAUCGAGGACUGGAGGUCUAUGAUAACUCUAUCUAGCCUGCGAACUUCCUCAUCAAUAUCCAUUAUAGUCUUGCGACGCUUGGGAGGUGUUUCAAAAGCAUUGAGAGAGUGCUUCGGGGCUGCCUUUGGAGGGAUGAAACGGACUUUGGCU
rnacentral:lncRNA from 1 species